GGUGGCUCAGUGGUAGAGUACUUGCCUUGCAUGCAUGAAGCUCUGGGUUCAAUUCCUUGGCACCA
rnacentral:tRNA from 1 species